rnacentral:rRNA from 1 species
GAAAGCCUGAUGCAGCCAUGCCGCGUGUAUGAAGAAGGCCUUCGGGUUGUAAAGUACUUUCAGUUGUGAGGAAGGGGGUAACGUUAAUAGCGUUAUCUCUUGACGUUAGCAACAGAAGAAGCACCGGCUAACUCCGUGCCAGCAGCCGCGGUAAUACGGAGGGUGCGAGCGUUAAUCGGAAUUACUGGGCGUAAAGCGCAUGCAGGUGGUUCAUUAAGUCAGAUGUGAAAGCCCGGGGCUCAACCUCGGAACUGCAUUUGAAACUGGUGAACUAGAGUGCUGUAGAGGGGGGUAGAAUUUCAGGUGUAGCGGUGAAAUGCGUAGAGAUCUGAAGGAAUACCAGUGGCGAAGGCGGCCCCCUGGACAGACACUGACACUCAGAUGCGAAAGCGUGGGGAGCAAACAGGAUUAGAUACCCUGGUAGUCCACGCCGUAAACGAUGUCUACUUGGAGGUUGUGGCCUUGAGCCGUGGCUUUCGGAGCUAACGCGUUAAGUAGACCGCCUGGGGAGUACUGUCUCAAGAUUAAAACUCAAAUGAAUUGACGGGGGCCCG